rnacentral:rRNA from 1 species
GACGAACGCUGGCGGCGUGCUUAACACAUGCAAGUCGAACGGAAAGGCCCAGCUUGCUGGGUGCUCGAGUGGCGAACGGGUGAGUAACACGUGGGUGAUCUGCCUCUAACUUCGGGAUAAGCUUGGGAAACUGGGUCUAAUACCGGAUAGGACAAUCGUUUAGUGUCGGUUGUGGAAAGUUUUUUCGGUUAGGGAUGAGCCCGCGGCCUAUCAGCUUGUUGGUGGGGUAAUGGCCUACCAAGGCGUCGACGGGUAGCCGGCCUGAGAGGGUGGACGGCCACAUUGGGACUGAGAUACGGCCCAGACUCCUACGGGAGGCAGCAGCGGGGAAUAUUGCACAAUGGGCGCAAGCCUGAUGCAGCGACGCCGCGUGGGGGAUGACGGCCUUCGGGUUGUAAACCUCUUUCGACAGGGACGAAGCUUUGGUGACGGUACCUGUAUAAGAAGCACCGGCUAACUACGU